GCCAUAGCCGGCCUGGCAGCACAAGCCCGGAGCCGACACGGGGCCACAGCCACGAUGCAGCCACUCCCACUGACCCUGGGGCUGAACCUGCUUUCCACGCUGUGAUCCCAGGGGACCCAGGUGGUUCCCGCCCCUGCUGAGAAGGUGGAAGGACUGUGGCACGCCCUGCGCUGGGAGCAGGACAGGGAGCUACUUAAAGAGGAGACGGCUCACCCUCUGCCACCAUUCUGGAUCCAGCGCUUCCAGGGUAACUUAUGUUACAAAUGACGGUAAGAUGGGACAGUCCAGUUGCAGGAAAACGAGCUCAGGGCUCCCACAGAUUCUCCACUAUGUGGGAACUGCACAGUAUUUAAGACACUGCUGGUGAAAACAGACAACUCUACCACGUACAGAAUCUAUUCCUGCGUAGUCAGCUGUAACUUAGGUGAGUGCCGCAAGGCCUCCACGUGUGUUCAGAGUGUCCACACCAGACUCUGGCCGGACUCCGUGGGUCCUGGGACUCUGCAGCCCUCGACCUUGGCAGCCUCCUUGCCUUCGGGUGCUUGAAUGCCAUGCAGCAUCCGAUGCAACCCACGACCUUGAGUCUAUUAUGAGUCAAGUGUGGUCGCUGUAGAUAAGGAUGAAAAAAGAUCAUGAAAAAGAACAACAACAGCAAAAUCACUCAUGGCCUGGCGUGGUGGCUCACGCCUGUAAUUCCAGCACUUUGGGAGGCCGAGGCGGGCAGAUCACGAAGUCAAGAGAUCGAGACCAUCCUGGCUAACACGGUGAAACCCCGUCUCUACUAAAAAUACAAAAUAUUAGUCAGGUGUGGUGGCGGGCGCCUGUAGUCCCAGCUACUCGGGAGGCUGAGGCAGGAAAAUGGCGUGAACCCGGGAGGUGGAGCUUGCAGUGAGCCGAGAUCACACCACUGCACUCCGUCUCAAAAAAAAAAAAAAAAAAUCACUCCUAAGCUCACUACCCAGGCCAAUGUACUCCAAAAAAAGGGAGAUGGCUUCACCCCUCCCUGUGUGAUUUCAUGUCCCAAGCUCUGUGUCUCAGGGUGUAGGAAGCCCUCUGUUGAAUAGGUACACCCUCCCCGGCCACAGCCUUAGUCCUACUUGCUGUUUGGGAACAGGAGAUCCCUGGCUGGUGCCUACAGAGGAGUGGGAAGAGGCUGAAACCCUCCUCCAUCUUCCCUCCCAGGCCCCAGGAGCUGAAGGUUCCUCUUCUCACGACGUGAAGCUCCCCUCCCCUCCUCCAGUCCUCAGCUUCCUUUUCUAAGAGAGAAGAGACUGGGGCCUGGGCAGUGAGUGGACAGGACUGUCCCCCCGUCCUCUUCGCACGCCCCUACAGGUGACACCUCUGGGUCCUCCACACCCUCAGUAGGAGCUCCAGGGCAUGGCUGGUCUCCCAGCCACACGGGAAGCCACAGGAUCCCCGUGGGACACCCCCAGCCACGUGCCACACUCAGUAACCACCCGUGGGCUUGGGUGCAAAUUCCCAAAGUCUGGCAGUGAUGGCUCACAUGUCGUCUCUGCCACCUCCUCUGCCACUGUGGAGGUUGGCCAUGGGGGAAAGGUGACGGGGGCAGAAGGGUGAGGGCUCCAAGUGGCUCGAGGAAGGGGACGUGGUGUGAGCAGGGGCACGGGCGGGCAGUCAGGGAGCUGGGAAGGGCCAGCCAGUCCUGCCCUGGAGCCUCCGGGAGGAGCCAGCACUGCGGACACCUUGGCUGUAGCCAGGGAGGCUCACUUUGGACUUCCAGCCUCCACACCUGUCGAAGGCCAACAAGUGUUUAGCUACUAAAUAAACCUCCAGGGGCUGCGGUGACAAAUGACCACAGACUCAGGAGCUGAACACAACACACAUGCAUCGUCUCACAAUUCUGGAGUCAAAUGUCUAGAAACAGUCGGUGGGGCUGUUUCCUUCUGGAGACUUCUGGGAAGGGGAGCAGCUGCUUCCAUGGCUUUCCCAGCUUCCGGAGUGGCUGCAUCCUGCGCUCUCGGCCCCGUCCACGCCACCCAGGCCUCCGUUUCUGUAGCCUCUGCUGCUCUCUGGCAUCUGCACAGUUGCCCCGAAGCCGCUCCGUGCCGGGCCUCCCUGAGUGCGUAGCGCUGGGGGGAGGAGGCGUGACCACAGUGGGCUGCAUUCAGGAUCUUGAAAGCCACCGAAGCCACGGCUGGCUCUCAGCCCUCAGGGAGCCUCUUCCCCUGCUGGGCACCAGGCUCCCAGCAUCUGGGUGGCAGCCUCUUCGUCUGGCUGCUGGUGGAGACCUGAGCCCAGCUCCAGGGUCCUCAGUCCUGCCCCUUGUCCUCCGCAAGCUCUCACUACAUCCUACCUGUGUCCAGGGACCUCGGCCCAUGCAUCCACUCAGAUCCCAGCCUACCCGGGAGCAUGCAUCCCCGCCUGGACCAGCACCCAACACCCCCGAGGGCUCCCCUGACCCACAUAAACCUUGUCAAUAUUG
rnacentral:lncRNA from 1 species